rnacentral:misc_RNA from 1 species
GUGCAUCUCGCCGCUGUGCAGCGAAAGCACGCGAGCAGCAAAAGAGUCGCCUCACUUGUGACUGAGGCGUCAUGCGGGUGACUGUGCGACAAUGCAACGUCUUUGACCCGGCGUUCAUGCGCAAGGUGAAGCGCACCCUCAGCGCCUACAAAGAAUCCAUGGAAACGUCGGCGAAGAAGUCGAUGUCGCGUGAGGCGUUCGUGGACAUUGACGAAAAGGGCGCCGCGUGGUAUCUGGGCCACAUGCAUUCGGCUGCUAACAUGCUUGCCGACAAGGUGAAGGACGCGGACUUCAUUCUCGAGAUACGCGACGCACGGCUGCCCUUUACGACGGAGAAUCCAAAUAUUCGCAAACUAACCGCCGGAAAGCCACGUCUUAUCAUCUUCAACAAGGCGGAGCUGUCAAACGAGGACAGCAAUCGCGCGAUUCAGGAAUACUACGAACGGAACGGCGCCUUUGCUCUCUUCACCAGCGCGCGGCGGUGCUGGAGGGACGUCGUGGAGGCGGUGCAGCGCUUCACCACGCACAUUCUGCCGCCGUUGCCGUAUAAGACAGUCGCCCACGUUGGACUUGUUGUGGGGAUGCCGAAUGUGGGCAAGUCGACGUUGAUCAACUCCCUGAGGCUCGCCCACGAGUAUCAGUUUCACCGUGAGGACUUCCGCCGCUCCAGAUCACCGGAGACGGUCUCCAUCACACCAGGCACCACGCGCGGCAUGAAGCUGGUUCCUCUCUCCAAGGACCCACCCGUGGUACUGUACGACACACCAGGUCUCACACUGCCCGGCUGCUUCACGAAAGAGUCAGGGUUGAAGCUGGCGGCGUGCGGCAUCAUUCCCACCAACGACGUUUCCCUUCCGCAGGGCAUGGUAGCGCGCUACAUCUACGACAUACUCGUUGCGUCCGGCUCAUCGGAGCACAUGGCCGAGUGUCUGCAUCUUCCGCGUAUGCCAAUCAGCUUCGAUGACUGCGUCGCAAUGAUCUGCGAGCGCAGCGGCACAAGUGGGCAGACCGAAAUGGGCAACCUAGACCCCGUUCGCGCGCACCGGUUCUUUGUGCACGACUUCACCAUGGGCAACCUGGGAAAGAUCACUCUCGACGUGCUACCCCGGCGCGUGCUGCGCAGUGCUCAGUCGUCGACUCCGCUGCUGGAGGGCGGAAGCAGCACCGCAGCUACGGACGGUGCGCAAGCCGCCGCGGGCGAUGAUGAUGGCUAUGUCUGGACGCACCAUGUGGAGACGAGCGACGUGGUCGAGCGCUAUCCUGACCACAUGCGUGAUGUGCUGCAGUCGCUGAAGGGUCCACUUCAUCACGACGGUGUGCCACGCCGACGUGGGACACCGUCCGUGAAGAGCGUAAACAGCCCGUCCGACUGCACCGUCAUCAGCCGCAAAAAAGGACCUAUUAGCCGAGCCACGGCGUUCGAUGAGCAACUCAAGCGCCACACGCGAUUGGCGCCAGGACGGUGAUGGAUUUCGAUGCGCGCCAAAAAGAUGCACUCUUCACUGCUUGCAUCUGCGCAUGUGAGUUCCUCCGGCCGCCGAUGCUUUUUGUGUAGUGUUCUGCUGUCGUUGUGCCGUGUGCGCGAGCUUCCUCCCCUUUUCCGUCCUCGACACCGAGAUUUUGGUGAUUCUAACCAACACAAAGAGCCACGACGACUUUCUCAGCUGUGUUUUCCGCCUCACGCCAUUAUGGAUACUCCCUCGUCCCUACGAGGAAGCGGCGUGUAACCAGCUCCACUCUCCCUCCCCCCCACACACACGCACACAACUGCACCGGGGAGGUCAUUCAGGCGAAACGCCAAAAGACGGCUGUGCCGCCUCUUCUGUUGUGCAGUGCUCGAAAGCAUAAAGGCGACCGCUGUGUGUUUAUGCUCGCCGCGAGCUCAACGCGCGCGCACACGCCUACGCAUUCAAAGACGCUCCCCCCGUCACUCCCUCUGCUGUUCGUGCCUUUCCUGACUUCGUUCCUUUUUUUGUUUCUGUGCCUUUCUGCAG